rnacentral:lncRNA from 1 species
AUGAUCUAUUUCAUUAUGAACAAACUAUCAACAAAAACCAUCCUGUUCAGCCAGUUUCUCAGAGCAACUGUGGGAGUCAAAGCAGGUAAAGUGGACUUCUUAAUUUGCAAACUUUUAAGGGUUGUAUUAUUUAUUACUUGGUGUUUUUUCUCAGGGGAGGACUUAGGUAGAAAUUACCUUGAUAUAGAAUGAAAAAUGUUUGCCUGGAAAAUGUGUAGGAUGAAGAGAAUAGAAACCAGUAAUUAAAAUAUCAAUUGGUAUGUACUAUAAUAAUUUCAAUAAUGCAAGUAAGCUGUUGGUAAAUAUACUAUGAUUUUCCUUUCAGUAAUUUUACUGGAUACUAAGUAUUAACACCAGGUAACAACAUUAGGGAAGAUUACAAGUAUAGGAGCGAGGUUUUGGUGUUUUGUCCCUUCUUGUUUCUUAUUGUCUGUUAACUUACACAUGUUGUUGAGUGACUGCCCUUCAGAGAUGGGGUCCUACUAUGUUGCCCAGGCUGGUUUCGAACUCCUGGGCUCAAGUGAUCCUCCUGCCUUGGCCUCCCAAAAUGCUGGGAUUACAGGCAUGAGCCACCACACCUGGCUAUUUUAAAAUAUUUUAUUGAAAAACUCUUGGUGUUUAUUCUUUCCCUUGCAAGCAUUCUUUACUAACUCUUUUUCUGGCAUCUUCUAUAAUUCUGCUUUUAAGGUUUUUUUUCUUUAUUUUUUAUUAUUAUACUUACAUUAUAUAGGGUACAUGUGCACAAUGUGCAGGUUUGUUACAUAUGUAUCCAUGUGCCAUGUUGGUGUGCUGCACCCAUUAACUCGUCAUUUACAUUAAGUAUAUCUCCUAAUGCUAUCCCUUCCCCCUCCCCCCUUCCUCCACCCCAUGACAGGCCCCAGUGUGUGAUGUUCCCCACCCUGUGUCCAAGUGUUCUCAUUGUUCAGUAACCACCUAUGAGUGAGAAAAGGCAGUGUUUGGUUUUCUGUCCUUGUGAUAGUUUGCUCAGAAUGAUGGUUUCCAGCUUCAUCCAUGUCCCUACAAAGGACACAAACUCAUCCUUUUUUAUGGCUGCAUAGUAUUCCAUGGUUUAUAUGUGCCACAUUUUCUUAAUCCAGUCUGUCAUUGAUGGACAUUUGGGUUGGUUCCAAGUCUUUGCUAUUGUGAAUAGUGCCACAAUAAACAUACGUGUGCAUAUAUCUUUAUAGCAGCAUGAUUUAUAAUCCUUUGGGUAUAUAUCCAGUAAUGAGAUGGCUGGGUCAAAUGGUAUUUCUAGUUCUUGAUCCUUGAGGAAUUGCCACACUGUCUUCCACAAUGGUUGAACUAGUUUACAAUCCCACCAACAGUGAAAAAGUGUUCCUAUUUCUCCACAUCCUCUCCAGCACCUGUUGUUUCCUGACUUUUUAAUGAUCGCCAUUCUAACUGGUGUGAGAUGGUAUCGCAUUGUGGUUUUGAUUUGCAUUUCUCUGAUGGCCAGUGAUGAUGAGCAUUUUUUCAUGUGUCUGUUGGCUGCAUAAAUGUCUUCUUUUGAGAAUUGUCUG